AGUCGUUGUAGCAAUACAAGGCAGACGGCUCAGUAACACGUAGUCAAUCUACCCUAUAGACGUGGAUAACCUCGGGAAACUGAGAAUAAUACACGAUAGAUCAUAAUGCCUGGAAUGGUUUAUGAUUGAAAUGAUUUAUUCGCUAUAGGAUGGGACUGCGGCCUAUCAGCUUGUUGGUGGGGUAAUGGCCCACCAGGGCUAUAACAGGUACGGGCUCUGAGAGGAGAAGCCCGGAGAUGGGUACUGAGACACGGACCCAGGCCCUAUGGGGCGCAGCAGGCGAGAAACCUUAGCAAUGUGCGAAAGCACGACUAGGUUAAUCCGAGUGAUUUCUGAUGAAGAAAUCUUUUGUCAGUUCUAAAAAUACCGAUGAAUAAGGGGUGGGCAAGUCUGGUGUCAGCCGCCGCGGUAAUACCAGCACCUCGAGUGGUCAGGAUGUUUAUUGGGCCUAAAGCAUCCGUAGCCGGCUUUGCAAGUCUCCGGUUAAAUCCAGCUGCCUAACAGAUGGGCUGCCGGAGAUACUACAAAGCUAGGGAGCGGGAGAGGCAGACGGUAUUCGGUGGGUAGGGGUAAAAUCCUCUGAUCCAUUGAGGACCACCAGUGGCGAAGGCGGUCUGCCAGAACGCGUUUGACGGUGAGGGAUGAAAGCUGGGGGAGCAAACCGGAUUAUAUACCCGGGUAGUCCCAGCUGUAAACGAUGCAAACUCGGUGAUGCAUUGGC
rnacentral:rRNA from 1 species